AGGCAACGAUUCUGGGCAAGGC
rnacentral:siRNA from 1 species